AUGGCGGCGGAGCUGGGCGAGAUUGAGGAGCUCGUCGAGGAGAUCCUCAUCCGCCUCCCUAAGGACGAGCCUGGUAAUCUCCUCCGCUCCUCCCUCGCCUGCAAGCCAUGGCGCGACCUCCUCGCCAGCCACGCCUUCCGUCGCCACCACGGCGACUUCCACCGAACACCUCCCAUGCUUGGCUUCCUCCGCGACUGGCCGGAACUCAGCAUCGAGUUCUUCCCCACCACGGAUUUCCUGGCGCGCGGUCCCGACCCCCAGCACCAAUAUACCGUGGAAGAUUGUCGCCACGGCCGCGUCCUCCUUCGAUACUUCGAUGAGGAUGAGGAUAUGCCAUUGCUGGUCGUCUGGGACCCCAUGACGGGCAGCGAAACAGUGCUUGGCACCCUUAAAAUGUCGGAAAAGGCAAGGUCGUUUGCCUCGGUGAUCUGUGCUGCGGACAGCUGCCGCCACGGUGACUGCCAUUCCGGUCCAUUUGGCGUCGUUUUCGUCAUCCUUCACCGGGAAGAAGAGGUUGCUACGGCGUCCGUGUACUCAUCGGAGACGGGUAGUUGGAGCUCUUCGGCCGUCACCGAUGUUGGUACGUUUGAGGAUGAAAUCCAUUUCUCCAUGCCUAGUGUGCUCGCAGGAGACGCGCUCUAUUUCCUCCUUUUCCGGGGCCAGGAUGUUGAAGGUUGCAGUAUUCUCAAGUACGACCUGGGAACCUCCUGUCUGUCGGAGAUUCAUCUGUCGGAGGAGAUGCAGGAUGCCAGCGACAAUCCUAUCCUCAUGGUGGGGGAAGACGGUAGGCUGGGGAUCGCACACCUGUUCUUUUUCGGCCUCUCCGUCUGGUGGAGGGAGGUGGAUCCCGAUGGAGUUGUGUCGUGGACACAACGGAGAGACAUCGACCUCGAGACUCUUCUUCCUGCUAGUGAUUCCAUAGUAUCACCUGAGUUGGUUGGCUCCAUGGAGGGUACUGAUAUCAUUUUUGCAACCACAAAUCUCGGCACCUAUGAAAUUGAUCUCAAGUCACUGAAAUCACCUUUGAAGAUGCUCUCGAGCAAGCUGUGUCAACAUCCAGAUAUCAAAUGGACCCUCUUUCCCUACGUUAGCUUCUACUAUCCUCCAGCUCCAGCGGUGGCUGGUGUUGUGGCUGAAGCAUCAAGUGAUGAAGCUGGACAUGGCAAUGAGGAAGCAGAAGUCUCAAGAAUUGAAGAAGUUUAG
rnacentral:rRNA from 1 species